AACGAGAGGUUAUGACGAUAACAUGCGGAAACUGUUUACGUUAGCGGCUAGUGGUUGUCGGUAAUUUAGCCAAGGUUUGUCCAUUUUAGAGUUAAACGUCGACAAGUAAGGGGUGUUUUAUGAUUAUUAUUGUUGCUCAGAAUGGGGAAAGCAGAUUUUCUCUCCCCCAAGGCAAUAGGUAACCGGAUAAAAUCGAAAGGUCUCCAAAAGUUGAGAUGGUAUUGUCAGAUGUGUCAGAAACAAUGCCGAGAUGAGAAUGGCUUCAAAUGCCACUGCAUGUCUGAGUCCCACCAGAGGCAGCUUCUGCUAGCCUCAGAGGACCCAAACAAAUUCAUGGACCACUUCUCCAAUGAGUUCAAAAACGAAUUCCUGGAGCUGUUAAGGAGACGUUUUGGGACCAAGCGAGUGCACAACAACAUCAUCUACAAUGAAUAUAUCAGCGACAGAGAGCACAUCCAUAUGAACUCAACAAAGUGGGAGACUCUUGGUGAAUUCACCAAGUGGCUGGGCAGAGAAGGUUUCUGCAAGGUGGACGAGACUCCUAAAGGCUGGUACGUCCAGUACAUCGACCGCGAUCCAGAGACCAUCCGCCGACAAGAGGAGCAGGCGAGGAAAAAGAAGCAGGACCUGGACGACGAGGAGAGGAGCGCCAAGUUCAUCGAGGAGCAGGUCCGCAGAGGCCGCGGCGACAAGGAGGUAGAGGAAACCCCAGUUUUCACAGAGCUGAAACGUGAGAGUGAGGAAGAAAAAGUUGCAUUCAACCUGGGCGCCUCCUCAUCUGUAGCUGGUCCUUCUAAAUCAAGUUCUGCUCUGGGUGCAAGUGCCCUCAAAGCAGCCGCUGCCUCCUCAACCAAGAGAAAAGACACGAGUACAGACACCAGGGGGGAGAAGAAGAAGAAAUCUGCUCUGGAGGAGAUUAUGGAGAUGGAGGAGAAGAAGAAGAAAAAGGAGUCUGUCAGAUUGGAUUACUGGCUGCAGCCGAACAUUGUGGUCAAAGUAGUCACAAAGAGACUCGGAGAGAAGUACCACAAGAAGAAGGCGGUCAUCAUGGAGGUGCGAGACAAAUAUGGAGCCGUGGUGAAGAUGAUCGACAGCGGAGACAAACUGAAAUUGGACCAGAAUCACGUGGAGACGGUCAUACCUGCACCAGCAUCUUGUUGUGACACUCCCUGCAGGUAAACAGGUUCUGAUCCUGAACGGGCCUCACAGAGAGACAGAGGCUCUGCUGGAGGGGAUCGACGAGAAGAAUUUCAGCGCCACACUCACGCUCACAUCUGGUCAUCAGAAGGGGAAGACAGUGAGCGUCGCCUACGAGGAUUUCUCUAAACUGGCUUGAACCAACAAUCCAUCGGUUCUGACCUCAGGGACUCUACUUUGUCAAAGUUAUUUCCCCAACAUCCACCUGUACAGACACACACAAACACACACUCACUCACACAUCAUAACAGAGUAACUCAUAACAAUGUUUUCAAUUAGUUUUUUAUUUUGUAUCAGAUGUUCAAGUUGAUCUUAGCAUUGCAAAUGUACAUUUUGUCCAAAUAAAUUUAACAAAAAGUUA